AUGUCGGAUGGGCGCUCUGCUCCUCUCUAAAGAGCAUGGGUUUAUCUACACCCUACGACAUGAAUGAAAUGAGUUUCCAGGGCUGCCAACUCUCUGGUUAGGGUUCUGCAGUAGCAUGUUUCUUCCACAAUA